CCUACGGGUGGCUGCAGUGGGGAAUAUUGGACAAUGGGGGGAACCCUGAUCCAGCCAUGCCGCGUGUGUGAAGAAGGCCCUCGGGUUGUAAAGCACUUUCAGUGAGGAAGAACGCCUGGUGGUUAAUACCCAUCAGGAAAGACAUCACUCACAGAAGAAGCACCUGCUAACUCCGUGCCAGCAGCCGCGGUAAUACGGAGGGUGCGAGCGUUAAUCGGAAUUACUGGGCGUAAAGCGCGCGUAGGUGGCUUGAUAAGCCGGUUGUGAAAGCCCCGGGCUCAACCUGGGAACGGCAUCCGGAACUGUCAAGCUAGAGUGCAGGAGAGGAAGGUGGAAUUCCCGGUGUAGCGGUGAAAUGCGUAGAGAUCGGGAGGAAUACCAGUGGCGAAGGCGGCCUUCUAGACUGACACUGCCACUGAGGUGCGAAAGCGUGGGUAGCAAACAGGAUUAGAUACCCCAGUAGUC
rnacentral:rRNA from 1 species